rnacentral:tRNA from 1 species
GCCGAAAUAGCUCAGUUGGGAGAGCGUUAGACUGAAGAUCUAAAGGUCCCAGGUUCGAUCCUGGUUUCGGCA